AAUGGAUUGUGAUGUAUGCCCUCCACCCGGCAUUGGUGCAUGUGUAGAACUCGGUGGUUGUCCGACUGGAAAACUACUAUGUUUUAACGGGUGUGGGCAUACCUGUAUGAAUCCUGUAAAGGGUUGUUGUGAUAAAUAGCUUUGAAGAUGGAUCUAAAGAAUAAACUGUAGACAUAUAACAUACGACUACAGACAUCAGAGAUUAAAAAAUAAUAAAUUGAAUAUCAAUUUCUU